GAUGAACGCUGGCGGCGUGCCUAAUACAUGCAAGUCGAACGCAUUGUGGUUGAAAUGAUAUGAAGAACUUGUUCAGAUUUGAUUUUAAACAUUGCAAUGAGUGGCGAACGGGUGAGUAACACGUGGGAAACCUACCUCUUAGCAGGGGAUAACAUUUGGAAACAAAUGCUAAUACCGUAUAAUAAUUAAAACCGCAUGGUUUUAGUUUAAAAGAUGGUCUUGCUAUCACUAAGAGAUGGUCCCGCGGUGUAUUAGUUAGUUGGUGAGGUAAUGGCUCACCAAGACAAUGAUACAUAGCCGAGUUGAGAGACUGACCGGCCACAAUGGGACUGAGACACGGCCCAUACUCCUACGGGAGGCAGCAGUAGGGAAUCUUCCACAAUGGACGAAAGUCUGAUGGAGCAACGCCGCGUGUGUGAUGAAGGGUUUCGGCUCGUAAAACACUGUUGUAAGAGAAGAAUGACAUUGAGAGUAACUGUUCAAUGUGUGACGGUAUCUUACCAAGG
rnacentral:rRNA from 1 species